UAGGGAAUCGAUCUUACCGAUUUUCGUCGCGAAGCGACGAAAAUCGGGAUCGAAUCCCACUACGGUAACAUACGAGGGUAUCCAAACAACACAUACUAUCCAAAUAAAAAAAUAUGGAGUUCCGGUUUAGACCAUGGGCGUGCGACGACCCCGAUGAAAUUCGGGAUAUCACGGUCUUCGUUAAUGUUAAUAAGCGUCCGUCAGAUCAGUAGGCGAAACGCAAUAUCCGCACAAUAAGAUGUCUGCGACUCGGAAAGAAUAUUCAAAAAUAUGGACGGCACUCCAGUACAGCAUGUGCAUGGUUGGACCUGUUGACAUUUUUAGAAACGCAUCUUGGCAUUAUACAGAGUAUUGUUGUACUGCUCCAAAGUGCUUGUUGACAGACUGAAACCACUUGCUUGCAGCUCUUAAGGUUUACUUCUUGAGAGCCGUCAGCUACAAAAUGGAAGGUCAACAAAUCCAGUAUACUUGAAAAGCAAGAAAGAAACACCAGAAAAUAUGAAAAGACAGAAGAACAAGAGAACUUGAAUAAAAAAAAAACUUUUAAGGAUAGGAAUUCAGGAUUUACUUGGAAACUAAAUUUAUUUUGAGAACAGCAGUGAUUGACGAAGCUCUGUUACUUAAAGAGAUAAUGUAUUAUCACAUUGGCUUUGUUAUUGUGGAGCCCGCUUGCGGAAGCAAAGACAUAGUUGUCCAAAUGUCUGUUCGGUGUAUGUGCAUGUGUGCGUCUGUCCGGAUUUGUUUGUCCAGACCAUAACUUGGACAUGCAUGGAGCAAUCUUGUUUAUAUUUGGUAUAAUGUUAACCUCAGUGAGACGGAGUGUUGUGCACAAACCCCAGGUUCCUAUCUCAAAGGCCAAGGUCACACUUACAGGUCAAAGGUCAAAUCCAAAAAUGAUUGUCCGGAGCAUUUCUUCUUCAUGCAUGGAGGGAUUUUGAUGUAACUUGGCACAAUUGUUCAUCAUCAUGCGACAGAAUGUCUUGCGUAAGAUCCUAGAGUUACUUCCCUUUGUUACUAUAAAUAGCUUACAUUUGUAACUUUUUUAUUACUGGUCAUAGGGAAAAAUCAAGACCACUUUUCUGUAGUACAACAUGCAUGUUACAUCCAAUUUUCAGGUGUAUUUUGACCUAUCUCUGCUGGUGCGGAUUUUUGUGUGGACUUAGAAUUUUUUUAUAUAUUUUUUUUAUGCCCCUGAAGGUAGGCUUAUAGUUUUUGAACCGUCUGUCGGUCUGUCCGCAAUUUUCGUGUCUGGUCCAUAUCUUUGUCAUUGAUGGAUGGAUUUUCAAAUAACUUGGCAUGAAUGUGUACCACAGUAAGACGACAUGUCGCGCGCAAGACCCAGGUCCGUAGCUCAAAGGUCAAGGUCACACUUAGACGUUAAAGGAUAGUGCAUUGAUAGGCUUGUCAGGUCCAUAUCUUUGUCAUCGAUGGAUGGAUUUUCAAAUAACUUGGCAUGAAUGUGUACCACAGUAAGACGACAUGU